CACACCCUGCACCCCAGACACCCCAUGGCCCCCGCCGCCCUCGGACCCGACCCCAGCCCGCAGUCGCGUGAGGCCGGGCACCCCAGACAGCCCAGACUGCGUCAGAGUGAAGUCACGCGCCGGCCCCCCGUGCGCUGCGGGCAGGAGUCCCGCGGCGCCCCCCGCCCGACCCCGCCUGCCGCGGGGCUCACCGCUGAAGAUCAUGGCGGACGAAGCGCCCAUGACCGCGAAGAACGAAGCAUACUCGGGGCUGUUCUUGGUCUCGGACAUGUCUGCGGGCGGGGUGGGGCGGGGGGCGAGCUCAGCGGGCCGCGGCGAGGAGAAAACAGCAGACCAACGAACGGGCGCAGAGGCGAGCAAAGGCGACCUGGCCCCUUCCUGCUUCUCCAUGGCAGUUACAGAAGCCAUAGCCACAAAGCACCAACCACAGUACCAUGCUACACUCAAAAAGAAUAUUCCUGAGUGGAGGAAAGACAGGACACAUCUGCCCCUCUUCUCCUUUCCCUGCUGACUCUGGUCAUGUCCCUUCAGUGACUUCUCUGACAGGGUUAAGAUCUCCUUGUCCAAAUCUGUUUCAAUCCUUAUCCACACCUCCUUGCCCAAAUCUUUUUCCAUUCUCAGCACACUGAGGUGUUACAGUAACUUGCUUAUACAUCCUGUUCUACUAUACUGUGACUUCUGUAUUCAGUGUCACACUAUACCCAGUGUGCCCUGGAAAGGGGGAAACCAGAGAAGAAAAAAGAGAAGCAAGAAAAAUCUGCAAAUUAUUUAGUCCUAGGAUGAAAUUUAAAUUUCAAAGGCUGAAUAACAACAGGGAGCCUUAGUCAACUUGUCCUAGGCAGUGACCUCCCUGGAAGGCCUCUUCACGUGACAGGAAGGCAAGGUGUGCACAGCUUCUACCCUGCAGCAGAGCACAGGAAUUUCUCCUAUGUUAAUGGGGAAUGGCACCCCAGAGUGACUACCAAGUAGCUGAUUACAGGGAACUUGAUAGUGGGCCCUUUGCUGGUGGCACACAAUGGCAGGCACGUGCCAGGUACAACAAGGAUAUAAUCAAGAGGUGUUAGUCACAGCAUACUGGGCCAGCUGGCCUGCCUGCUGGCUAGAAGUUCAAAUGCAAGUCUUAGGCUACAUGUGGGAUCCUGAAUAGGUGAUCCUGAAUAGGUGAUCCUAUAGAUCCUGUGUCCCUUUCCUGGGCAGAACACAUUUCUCUGGUCUAAUCUGGCCUACCCAUAGGAAGGGAGGGGCUGUGCUGGGGCUGGAACAAGACUCAGCUAAUUCAGCAUCUUUAUCUUCUGAGCUCUAAGGGUCUGCCAAAAAAUCAGUCAUGGAAAAAUACUCCCCCAUCAGGACACAUGGAAAAGAACUCAUUCAAAAGUUAGUAGCACAUAAUUUUGACAGGUCUGAGUUCCCAGCAAGGUGCCCGAGUAAGGUAUGCCUUGAAGGCCAGGAGCCUUGAAGGCCAGGAGCCCUAAAGGCCAGGAGCUCAGGUUCUCCACAAACACCUUCAGACCUAAUAAGACAGCAAGACAGCUAGCCAAGAUGGAACUGUGUGAACUUAAUCAUUUUAAUAGGCAUUCAAGAUACACUUCCUGCAUGCCAGGGUCCCAAGUGCUGGAGGACAAAGAGGUGGUACCGGUUCUAGCUCUCAGGGAGCCCAACACAGGGUAUCCAGGUCCCUAUCCAUAAGGAAAGAAGGCUCAGGGAAGGUAUCCUGGAGCCAACACCUGCAUUAUCUGGGUUUUGACAGGUAAGGAGGACUUAGCUCCAGGAAGUGACACAGACAGCAUGGGCAAAGGACAGAGCCACAAAAGACAGAUCUAAUUCAGAGUCGGGAGCUGUUCAGGAGGAAGGCACAAGUCUGUGGGCAUCUUUUGUGGCUUAGGUGAAAAGACAGUUCUAUAAUCGAGUUUACAGGCUUCAAGAAGCCAAAGGGUCUGAAUUUACUGGGCUGCCAAUUAAGGACAGUUCCCUUUCAUGCUGGAAGCAAGGUGGGGACAGCCUAAAAAGACAGGUAAAGAUACCAGGGCAGGAGUUAAUGUCCACAUCUUGAUCCUUCUAAAGGCUACAGGUUUCCAAGAUACAAAGACUAUAAGGAUAUCUUCCAGGAAAGAAACACAGAGGGUGAUUAGGAGAAAAGAGCAAAAUUAUUUAAGAAAAGGCCUAAGGGACAGAAGUGAACUUUUGGUGGGACUGAGAUAAUGAACAACCCUUAGAAGAGUGGACAGGCUUUUACUGUUAAUAGAAUCACCCAUCAGUAAACAAUUUCUGAGAGUGUGUAGCACCCCAUUAAAACUGUGUAACAAUCAGGAAGACACAGUUUCAGAUUAUGGGAAACAGUCCAAGUGGUGUGCUGUAUAUUCUCAGUCACCUCUGAAAAAGUACACCAGGGUGGCUGCAGAAGGGAGGUUACCACUGCUUACACAUGAUCCGUGAACAAAAGCUCUAAGACUGAGCAGCCACACGCCCCAACAUGAGGAACAAAGAUAACUGCUCACAAACUCAUAAGACAUAUGGCCAUCCCAAUGGGGCCCACAUGCCAGAGGCGGGCAGAUAGGGACUCAUUUUGCAAUAUCAGCUUUUCCCUACCCUUCUCAUAUGGCCCUACCAUGUGAGACAGAGUGGGGAAGGGACACCACAUGCUUGGCCUCUGUACCCUUGGUCAUUUUUUUCCAAAGUCCUAUCUGAUACUAAGGCUGCUAUAUCACACAGAAACCAGGGUCCUGGAGGGAAAGCAGCACAACCUGGAGAAUUCUGCAAUAAUGGAUUUCCAGGUCUAAGAAGAUCCCCGCCCCCUGAGUUCUAACUAUAGAAUGUUCUGACAAGAACCCUCAGUCUAGAGCCAAAUGGGGUCUCUUGAGAUGAGUGCUCCCCAAACUGGAGGUUCCCCAAAAGGCAAACAAACACUUGAGAUAGAAAGACCCUUGGAAAGACAACAGAAAUGUGUGUUUGUACCUUUAGUAUCUGACAUCCUAUCUUACACUCUAACAAGCAAAACUGGCUCUCUGACAGAAACAAAAAGCCCACUACCCUACCCCCAUCUGCCAACAAAGCAAUUGGUUACAAAGCAGCCUUAUGUUCCUAAGAACAUAAGAUUGGCAGUUCAUAGGGACAGCCUUUUUUUCUCACUGAGAAGACCCAACUCACUCCCCAACUUUAACACCACACAGGAAUGCCCCCUAAAUGCUCUGUAGCCUCAUGGCUCCAGACCAGUAGAUACCUACCUGCUGCCUGGAUGAUGAUUUUCCAAACUCAAAGUCCUGAGCUUUUCCCAGGCCUGCUCCACUCUGUGUGCAUCAUGGCACUGAACAGCCUGUCAUCCAGUCCUGGAGCGUCCCCAGCAUCCUCUUUUCUCCCUGGCUCUUCCUAUUCCAGCAGCUACUUGUCUCUUAGUUUUGCCCUCCUUUCCAUUCUUUUUUUUUUCAGUUAUCGAUUGACCUUUAUUUUCUUUAUUUAUUUAUAUACUGUGCUCAGAAUAGAACCCAGUGCCUCACACAUACUAGACAUGCACUGUAUCACUUAACUUCAACCCCAGCCCCUCCUUUCCAUUUUUUGUCUCAGGGUGUGCCUCAAAGAUACCUUACCAACCUGUCUUUGUUACCACUGGCUAAGGUUGGGUAAGUCCUUAGAAAACAUAAAUCUCAUCAGGUCACUCACAAGCUAUGCUCCUCUGAUGGCUUCCACUGCUCUCAGGGUAAAAUUAAAAUUCUUGAGCCUGGCACUCAAGGCCUUUCCCAGUAUGCUACCAGCCCAGCUCCCUUCCAUUUUUCCAUCUUCCCCCACAUACUCCCGAGCUACUCAUUACCCUUCUCCCAAUAGCUGAGGGUAGAAACCAUUCCCCUUUCACUUUCUAUGUACUAUCCUAUUGCCCCUCUGGCUGGUAGGUUCUUUCAUUACAUGUUCUAACCAUCCUUCAAAAUGAAGUUCAUGGCCUUCUCUGAGCUCCUAUCCCCCACCACAGUCCAGCUGGAUGUUGGUCCCUUGGGCCCACAGAAAGAUCUACCCACCCCUGUGGGAGUGUCUACCUUUAUUUGCCUGUCUCCUUACUACACAGUGAGCUCAAGGGCAGAGAC
rnacentral:lncRNA from 1 species